CCUACGGGUGGCAGCAGUGAGGAAUAUUGGUCAAUGGACGCAAGUCUGAACCAGCCAAGCCGCGUGCAGGAAGACGGCUCUAUGAGUUGUAAACUGCUUUUGUACGAGGAUAAACGCAGAUACGCGUAUCUGUCUGAAAGUAUCGUACGAAUAAGGAUCGGCUAACUCCGUGCCAGCAGCCGCGGUAAUACGGAGGAUUCAAGCGUUAUCCGGAUUUAUUGGGUUUAAAGGGUGCGUAGGCGGUCGGAUAAGUUAGAGGUGAAAGCCCGAGGCUCAACUUCGGAAUUGCCUCUGAUACUGUUCGGCUAGAGAGUAGUUGCGGUAGGCGGAAUGCAUGGUGUAGCGGUGAAAUGCUUAGAGAUCAUACAGAACACCGAUUGCGAAGGCAGCUUACCAAGCUACUUCUGACGUUGAGGCACGAAAGCGUGGGGAGCAAACAGGAUUAGAUACCCGAGUAGUC
rnacentral:rRNA from 1 species